rnacentral:rRNA from 1 species
AGUGAACGCUGGCGGUAGGCCUAACACAUGCAAGUCGAACGGCAGCACAGUAAGAGCUUGCUCUUACGGGUGGCGAGUGGCGGACGGGUGAGGAAUACAUCGGAAUCUACUUUUUCGUGGGGGAUAACGUAGGGAAACUUACGCUAAUACCGCAUACGACCUACGGGUGAAAGCAGGGGAUCUUCGGACCUUGCGCGAUUGAAUGAGCCGAUGUCGGAUUAGCUGGUUGGCGGGGUAAAGGCCCACCAAGGCGACGAUCCGUGGCUGGUCUGAGAGGAUGAUCAGCCCCACUGGAACUGGGACCCGGUCCAGACUCCUACGGGAGGCAGCAGUGGGGAAUAUUGGACAAUGGGCGCAAGCCUGAUCCAGCCAUACCGCGUGGGUGAAGAAGGCCUUCGGGUUGUAAAGCCCUUUUGUUGGGAAAGAAAAGCAGCAGGUUAAUACCCCGCUGUUCUGACGGUACCCAAAGAAUAAGCACCGGCUAACUUCGU